AGUGAACGCUGGCGGUAGGCCUAACACAUGCAAGUCGAACGGCAGCACAGUAAGAGCUUGCUCUUACGGGUGGCGAGUGGCGGACGGGUGAGGAAUACAUCGGAAUCUACUUUUUCGUGGGGGAUAACGUAGGGAAACUUACGCUAAUACCGCAUACGGCCUACGGGUGAAAGCAGGGGAUCUUCGGACCUUGCGCGAUUGAAUGAGCCGAUGUCGGAUUAGCUAGUUGGCGGGGUAAAGGCCCACCAAGGCGACGAUCCGUAGCUGGUCUGAGAGGAUGAUCAGCCACACUGGAACGGAGACACGGUCCAGACUCCUACGGGAGGCAGCAGUGGGGAAUAUUGGACAAUGGGCGCAAGCCUGAUCCAGCCAUACCGCGUGGGUGAAGAAGGCCUUCGGGUUGUAAAGCCCUUUUGUUGGGAAAGAAAAGCAGCAGGUUAAUACCCCGCUGUUCUGACGGUACCCAAAGAAUAAGCACCGGCUAACUUCGUG
rnacentral:rRNA from 1 species